UGCUAGCGUUGUUCGGAAUUACUGGGCGUAAAGCGCGCGUAGGCGGUCCUGCAAGUCGGGUGUGAAAGCCCGAGGCUCAACCUCGGAACUGCCUUCGAUACUGCGGGUCUCGAGUCCGGGAGAGGUGAGUGGAAUUCCUAGUGUAGAGGUGAAAUUCGUAGAUAUUAGGAAGAACACCAGUGGCGAAGGCGGCUCACUGGACCGGUACUGACGCUGAGGCGCGAAAGCGUGGGGAGCAAACAGG
rnacentral:rRNA from 1 species